GGUCACAUACCUAUUUGAACUUGCGUUCAGGCCUAUGCGUUUGAACUUGGUAUUCAAGCACUUAACCAUAAGGCUUAAUCUAACUUUCACCUGUGUACCCCACCGGUGUGUGGUUUUUUCAAGUAUCCAGAAUACGUAAUUGCCAUUUCAUUGAUGCACUAACAGUAUUUAUCAAGCACUAGAGACAUACCCCUGAUGAAGUCUUAGAGUAAGACGAAACGCGUCGGGUUAUUUGUUCAUAAACAUCAAAUCUCCGAAUUGUCAAAGGAGAAGGAGGAAUCUAUCAAAGUUAUUUCAACUGGUCCUCUGUACUAUAUGGUGUUAUCUGCAAGAAGAGAUACUAUACCGUUUUGUAUCAUUGCUUUUAUGUUGUAAUAAAUUUUACAUGGAACAUGUUAAAUGUGGUUUUAUGCUCACGAAUUAGGAGUAAAUAUCUUAGGGAGACUGCUGUUUUUCCCCAUUGAAUAUUGGGUGGAAAAACAACCCAAGUGCGCCCAUUCCUCUACUGGCACAUAUUUGUAUCUUUUUAGUCCCUCCUAACAAGGGACUUAGUGGAAUUUGGCAGCCUUAACCCAAUCCUUUCUCACUUUCUGUUUAAUAGCGCAAAAGGGAGAGUAUCUGUUUUGUCUAUAUUUCGUUGCUGUUAGUUACUCCCCAUUGCUGCUAGGUGAUAUGCCUUUAUUUAAUGAUCGGAAAAGUAGGAGUCAGAAAUGUAAAACCAUUUUUUUAGAGGAUAUGCAAGACAUGGAACAAACGGAGGAUGAUAAUGAUGAGUAUU